rnacentral:rRNA from 1 species
AUGAUUGACACAAAUUGCCCCAUCAUGAGCUGGAACAUCUGAGGUUUAAACACGCCGGCGCGACACGCAGUAGUUUGUGAAACGACAGAAGCUCAUAGGCUAGCUAUCCUCUGCCUCCAGGAGACUAAAAUCGAAGCUUGGAGUCGCUCCCUGGUCAAGGACGUCGGCAGAGCAAGGCUAACUGACUGCGUCGUGCUCCCCGCCUCCGGCACUAGGGCGGUGCUGCAAUCUUUUGGGAUAACUCUGUAG